rnacentral:lncRNA from 1 species
AUUGUAAAUCUCCUUCAAUUGGAUAUAUGAAUUACUGUAUUAAAAAGUAUUACUUUCCUCUGUCACCACCAGCGAUUUAUUUAUAUCGAUCAAUGCCGUAACAAGAAUAAAUAUAAGUACCAAUCGAAUAUGUGCGAAUGAUACGGACAUAAUGUUUGGCGCAAAUUUAUCAAACGUCGAACGGAAGCUCGGCGAUGCGCGCAUCUCAAACCGCAUCCCGUUUCACUCCGUCCUCCAAUCGCCUCCGACCUCCGACCAAGUGGACCUCCGUCCGUACCAUACCUCAGUUCAGUCAGUCUGUCUGUGCAUAUUGGAACGUACGGACGUACGUCGCCGCACCGCGCUGCCAGGACGCGAGCUUUCGAAUUUUACCUUCCUUACCUGUGGAUUUUCAGUGACAUGUGUUUUUAAAAAAAAUUACACUAUUGUGUUUUAAUUUUGGAUUAGCUGUGUUCCAUUGUGGAGUUCACAGUUCCGGGGUAAACCCAUACUCAAGGUACGGAAAUAUCCAAGGUUUAGAAUGUCUAAUCAUAACUACUGCACAGCCCAGGGCUCAGGUGACACUUUCCUCGUAACAGAUUUCAUGUGGUCAGUUGACACCGUAAUAUUGUUUUCUGUUUCUACGACAUAAUAAGACUGUGUAACUAAAGUUGAGUAAAACAAUAUGGUGACUAUCCUUACUAAUAUU